UAGUUAAAUAGUGGUCGGAAAAUUGAACUGAAAUUAUGUGCGCAUAGCAGAGAUGAUUUCAAAUUUGCCUGUCAUAUUUUACCAAGAUCUAUCCUAAACUCACUUCAUGAAAAGUAUUUAUUCUACACUGAAAUGACAUGUAAGUCAAUGUAAUUACGUCAAGUGUCCGAAUAUAUAGAGUCUGUAUGUUAUGUAAGCCGUUCACCCUCUAUACUACAACACCCCUCCCCCCAUUCAGCCACGCCUCCCUAUUUUAUGCAUUGGAGUGGAAUCUACUCGACUUACAGACGCAGUCAGCGUUAACAUGGAUGUUUAUUUUGAGUUGUUGGCCUGUUUUGUUUUUUUUGUUCGAUUUUGUUUGGAUUUGGCAUUGUUGUUUUGGUGUGUGCGUUUUUUCAAUUUAUCUCUGUGGUAUGUGUGUGUGUGUGUGUGAGAGAGAGAGAGUGUUUUGUUUGUUAAUUUUCGACUUUUAGAAAACAACCGUACGUUUGAAUAAAAAUAAUAAAGCAUUAUGUGGUGUGCAUUUUAUUGCCUUUUGAGGUCUACUUGUUAGGUCGGGAUGAAACCAAUAUGUCAGAAACGCAAUAUGAAGAGACCCCUGGGGCUUACUGGAUCUUCCGGCAAGGACGUGAAAUACUGAAUGGAAGCAACGCCUGGAGCUUACUGCAUCUUCCGGCAAGGACGUGAAAUACUUAAUGAAAGCAACGCCUGGAGCUUACUGCAUCUUCCGGUAAGGACGUGAAAUACUGAAUGGAAACAACGCCUGGAGCUAACUGCAUCUUCCGGCAAGGAUGUGAAAUACUUAAUGGAAGCAACGCCUGGAGCUUACUGCAUCUUCCGGUAAGGACGUGAAAUACUUAAUGGAAACAACGCCUGGAGCUUACUGGAUCUUCCGGCAAGGACGUGAAAUACUUAAUGGAAACAAAGCCUGGAGCUUACUGGAUCUUCCGGCAAGGACGUGAAAUACUUAAUGGAAACAAAGCCUGGAGCUUACUGCAUCUUCCGGCAAGGACGUGAAAUACUUAAUGGAAACAACGCCUGGGGCUUACUGCAUCUUCCGGUAUGGACGUGAAAUACUUAAUGGAAGCAACGCCUGGAGCUUACUGCAUCUUCCGGCAAGGACGUGAAAUACUUAAUGGAAACAAAGCCGGGAGCUUACUGCAUCUUCCGGCAAGGACGUGAAAUACUUAAUGGAAACAACGCCUGGGGCUUACUGCAUCUUCCGGCAAGGACGUGAAAUACUUAAUGAAAGCAACGCCUGGGGCUUACUGCAUCUUCCGGUAUGGACGUGAAAUACUUAAUGGAAGCAACGCCUGGAGCUUACUGCAUCUUCCGGCAAGGACGUGAAAUACUUAAUGAAAGCAACGCCUGGGGCUUACUGCAUCUUCCGGUAUGGACGUGAAAUACUUAAUGGAAGCAACGCCUGGAGCUUACUGCAUCUUCCGGCAAGGACGUGAAAUACUGAAUGGAAACAACGCCUGGAGCUUACUGCAUCUGUCGGCAAGGACGUGAAAUACUUAAUGGAAACAACGCCUGGAGCUCACUGCAUCUGUCGGCAAGGACGUGAAAUACUGAAUGGAAACAACGCCUGGAGCUCACUGCAUCUGUCGGCAAGGACGUGAAAUAAUGUACGUAUUACUGAAAUAAUUACACCUAUAAUUAUAAUGUAUGAUAUGUAUUAUAGCAGGUUUUCCAAAUAGUUAUGUAAGUAACUCCUACCAUUUAUUCAUAGUGUUGUGAUGCAGUGUUUUACGGUGUGCGACAGUGUAUCAUCCUCUUAUACACUGUUCCUGCAUAUUCAGUAAGGGGCAUUGGGGUGCUAUGUUCAGACUUUACUCGAUUUAGACAGAAUGAUUUGCAAAGUGCUACAAUGAUCCUAUCCCCGAAUCGUCUGCCAAAGAGUGGUAUAAAAAGGGAGUUAACUCUUGCCUCUCAUCUUAUAUUACAUCUCAAUGCAAGAGGAGACCAGCAUUGUCUGUGAUGUUGAAACCCUGGACACUCUCUGCUUAGCCCUUUCUUCAAAGUUAGAUUACUGAUGCCAAGGUGAAUAUUACCACCAUUGGCUUUAUUGCUCUCAUCACUGCUCUUGUAUUAUGGUACCCGUGUAUUCAUACUGCCACACAGUUCUGUACUGCCACAGUGCGAUCCCAGAGUUGAUGCCGAGGUGAAUAUUACCACCAUUGGCUUUAUUGCUCUCAUCACUGCUCUUGUAUUAUGGUACCC
rnacentral:lncRNA from 1 species